rnacentral:rRNA from 1 species
CAGUAGCCGCGGGAAUACGAAGGGUGCAAGCGUUACUCGGAAUUACUGGGCGUAAAGCGUGCGUAGGUGGUGGUUUAAGUCCGUUGUGAAAGCCCUGGGCUCAACCUGGGAAUUGCAGUGGAUACUGGGUCACUAGAGUGUGGUAGAGGAUAGUGGAAUUUCCGGUGUAGCAGUGAAAUGCGUAGAGAUCGGAAGGAACAUCUGUGGCGAAGGCGACUAUCUGGGCCAACACUGACACUGAGGCACGAAAGCGUGGGGAGCAAACAGGAUUAGAUACCCCGUAGUCCCUGUCUCUUAUACC